CAGGAAGCCUGUGCUAGCGAUGAUGCGUGGGUCACCCAAGGCAAACAUUCAAGCAAAGUACCAAUGGCAAUUUUUAAAAAAUUAAACGUGUGCGCUUACUGUCCAAAGGGCUUUGAUGAGCGUUUUAUGAGCAACCUUAAGAAUUUGACAGCAACGUUCCAGCAAAUCUGAAGAAUGUGAAUUAUGUUGUACCAGUGGUCACUCCUGAACUGGAACAUUGGCCUUUGAAAUAAAUCUUAGAGUUUCCAGCUUCCACGAACAUCCACUCUAAGUGAGCAUCUAGUGAGGCUGUUGGAAAUCUCAUCAAACUUCCCCUGGUUAUAAAGACCCUUGAUUUUAAGAUAAACGUUCUGUGAAGGAAUACAUGACAGAAAGCACAGACUGUGAGAGGGAAUAAGCUCCCAGACCACUGGCAUUGAGUUUUCCCGAAGACGAGCGAGGCC